rfam:Drosophila willistoni strain TSC#14030-0811.24 scf2_1100000004269 genomic scaffold, whole genome shotgun sequence.
CACUCUAAGCGGUGGAUCACUCGGCUCAUGGGUCGAUGAAGAACGCAGCAAACUGUGCGUCAUCGUGUGAACUGCAGGACACAUGAACAUCGACAUUUUG